rnacentral:miRNA from 2 species
CUGACAGAAGAGAGUGAGCAC